UAGGAAUUAGAAAUCAGGUCUUGGGUUGGGGAUUUAGCUCAGUGGUAGAGCGCUUGCCUAGCAACCGCAAGGUCCUGGGUUCGGUCCCCAGCUCCAGAAAAAAAAAAAAGAAAGAAAGAAAGAAAUCAGGUCUUCCUCGAGUUUGCAAAGCAAACACUUUUACCCACUGAGCCAUCUCCUCAGCCCUUUUAGCCUUUUUAACUCUGAGAGAAAACACUUCUCUGGUAGCUUUUCUGUGAUUUGUUUUGACAAACCUAAUGUAUGAGAGAAGUGCAAAAAUGUCCCCUCAAAAACACUUACAUGAAGUCAACAUAGUCUGAUAGUGGGUGAGAUGGGAGCCUGAACUGCUGGGUGUGGUUAAAUACCUAGGAUGAACAACUUAAGAAAAGUCUGGGCUCAUAGACUCCAUGGCCAGCUGAUAUCACUGUGUUUAUGCUGUGACAAGGCAUAAAGAAGUAUGGGAGCAGGGCGGGGCUCAGGAAAGCUGCUUGUCUCAUGGUUACCAAGGAAACACAGAGAGAGAAGGGACCAGGGACCACUUCAGCCUUCCAAGGUCCAGUGACCUAUUCCCUCCAAGGAGGCUACCAGCCUCUCACAAUCUCCCAUUGUGCCUGCAGCUGUGACUUCAUCAUCCUGAACACCCACAGGUAUCAUUAGUGGAGACAGGAUCCCCCUUGUCAUUUCCAUAUCCAAAAUAUGUUCCUUUCAGCAGUCCAUUCAAACCCUGGGCCUGGGAUCUUCUUUGUGGCAAGUAUCCUUGGUUUCAGCCUUGGACCUUGCUUCCUCCUUUUUCUCCUUGUCCUGAUGGUUCAUCAAUGCAGAAAGAAACCAAAAUGCCAAGAAGAAGAAGAAGAGGAGCCGGGAAAUGCGACAGUCCUGCAGGAAGAGGAGCAGCCCUGUAUUCAGAUUGCUGAGUUCAGAGACUCUAGUAUCUCAGUGAAGGAAGAAUCCAUAACCCUGUACUGAAACAAGCUAUACUAUGGUCCAGGCUAGAGGCUUAGAGACCGCCAUAGUGGUACCCAGAUAGGACCAUGACACAUUGUGUCCUCCUUUUACAUAAGUUCUCCAAUAAUAAACACUUUGGUCCUACUCAAGAGGUCUCUGUCACUGAAACUUUGUGAGCAGCUAGAGAAAUGAUUUCACUGCACUGAUAGUACAGCCAGCAGGACUCACCUUUAUCCUCACUUCUCUCGGGUGAAACCCUGGUGAGUGGCUUGUGUUCAGAGAGAAAUGUUGGAUCCAGACGAGUUCAAAGUUAAGUCAGACAGGCGUGCCCAAAAUGCACUGGGCUCUUAUAUGUAACAUCUUUUAUAGGAUACUUUCCAAUAACUUGUUUUGGUCACGUGUAAAUAGAUGAAGAUGUGAUAGAACCUCGUUGAUAAAAAUCAGAUUAAUCCAAAAGUUUGAAAAACUUCUGAGGGACAUAAUAUAGAUGGAGAAAUCAGCUGGAAAGCACCUGCAUAUAUGGUGCGGGGAUCUGAACUCGAGACCUCAGGUUUACAUUGCCAGGUCCUAGCGAAC
rnacentral:lncRNA from 1 species